AUAUGCAGACCAAAGAGCAGUUACUCCCUUUUUUCUAUCCACUUUCCCCCAUAUUCUUCUAGGGCUGGUGUUUGGUUGCGAAAAGAUCUAAGACCCCCCUGGGAAAAGGGGCAGAGUGGAAGAGUCAAUAACACAAUGUGAAAAAAAGAGCAGACACCACGGAACAAAAUCCAAUUGUAAUCCUGAUUUGAACAAAGCCCGUGAAAUGUAAAGACCCGGAAAGCCAACCGCUUGGGAGACUUUGCAGCUUCUCAGAAGUAUUCCAGCCUGGCACGCAACUUGGCCCACACAGCAAUGGGAGUGGGGCUCUUUUUCAUUGUUUUGAGUAUUAUCAUAGUGAUGUCGGUUUUACACUUGGCUUUCGGUGUCUCAGAAGCUGCGCCCUGAGAUUCAUCGCCUGAAGAGACCUUCUGACUGAUCCACAAAAUAAAGAAGUAAUGAACCAA